GUUCAUGUAGUUUAAUUAAAAACAUUGCAUUUUCAAUGCAAAAAUGAAAAAAUUUCCUAGAAUG
rnacentral:tRNA from 1 species